AUUGAACGCUGGCGGCAUGCCUUACACAUGCAAGUCGAACGGUAACGCGGGGGCAACCCUGGCGACGAGUGGCGAACGGGUGAGUAAUACAUCGGAACGUACCCAGUAGUGGGGGAUAGCUCGGCGAAAGCCGGAUUAAUACCGCAUACGACCUAUGGGUGAAAGCGGGGGAUCGCAAGACCUCGCGCUAUUGGAGCGGCCGAUGUCGGAUUAGCUAGUUGGUGAGGUAAAGGCNCACCAAGGCUACGAUCCGUAGCUGGUCUGAGAGGACGACCAGCCACACUGGGACUGAGACACGGCCCAGACUCCUACGGGAGGCAGCAGUGGGGAAUUUUGGACAAUGGGCGAAAGCCUGAUCCAGCCAUGCCGCGUGGUGUGAAGAAGGCC
rnacentral:rRNA from 1 species